CAGCCGCCGCGGUAAUACGUAGGGUGCAAGCGUUAAUCGGAAUUACUGGGCGUAAAGCGUGCGCAGGCGGUUUGUUAAGACAGAUGUGAAAUCCCCGGGCUCAACCUGGGAACUGCAUUUGUGACUGGCAAGCUAGAGUGUGGCAGAGGGGGGUGGAAUUCCGCGUGUAGCAGUGAAAUGCGUAGAUAUGCGGAGGAACACCGAUGGCGAAGGCAGCCCCCUGGGCCAACACUGACGCUCAUGCACGAAAGCGUGUGGAGCAAACAGGAUUAGAUACCCCGGUAGUCCCUGUCUCUUAUAC
rnacentral:rRNA from 1 species